CAUGCCGUAAACGGUGGGCGCUAGGUGUAGGGGGCUUCCACGUCUUCUGUGCCGUAGCUAACGCAUUAAGCGCCCCGCCUGGGGAGUACGGCCGCAAGGCUAAAACUCAAAGGAAUUGACGGGGGCCCGCACAAGCGGCGGAGCAUGUGGAUUAAUUCGAUGCAACGCGAAGAACCUUACCUGGGCUUGACAUAUACAGGAUCGGGCUAGAGAUAGUCUUUCCCUUGUGGUCUGUAUACAGGUGG
rnacentral:rRNA from 1 species